CCGCGGUCAGACGGAGGAGGCAAGCGUUAUCCGGAGUGACUGGGCGUAAAGAGAUGCGUAGGCGGUAUGUAAAGCGAACAGUGAAAUCUCAAAGCUCAACUUUGAGGCUACUGUUUGAACUUACAUACUAGAGCAUGAUAGGGGAAACUGGAAUUCCUAGUGUAGGAGUGAAAUCCGUAGAUAUUAGGAGGAACACCAAUGGCGAAGGCAGGUUUCUGGAUCAUUGCUGACGCUCAGGCUCGAAAGUGUG
rnacentral:rRNA from 1 species